AAAGGCGAAAAGAACCCCGGCGAGGGGAGUGAAAAAGAACCUGAAACCGUGUACGUACAAGCAGUGGGAGCACAGAGCAAUCUGUGUGACUGCGUACCUUUUGUAUAAUGGGUCAGCGACUUAUAUUCUGUAGCAAGGUUAACCGAAUAGGGGAGCCGAAGGGAAACCGAGUCUUAACUGGGCGUUAAGUUGCAGGGUAUAGACCCGAAACCCGGUGAUCUAGCCAUGGGCAGGUUGAAGGUUGGGUAACACUAACUGGAGGACCGAACCGACUAAUGUUGAAAAAUUAGCGGAUGACUUGUGGCUGGGGGUGAAAGGCCAAUCAAACCGGGAGAUAGCUGGUUCUCCCCGAAAGCUAUUUAGGUAGCGCCUCGUGAAUUCAUCUCCGGGGGUAGAGCACUGUUUCGGCAAGGGGGUCAUCCCGACUUACCAACCCGAUGCAAACUGCGAAUACCGGAGAAUGUUAUCACGGGAGACACACGGCGGGUGCUAACGUCCGUCGUGAAGAGGGAAACAACCCAGACCGCCAGCUAAGGUCCCAAAGUCAUGGUUAAGUGGGAAACGAUGUGGGAAGGCCCAGACAGCCAGGAUGUUGGCUUAGAAGCAGCCAUCAUUUAAAGAAAGCGUAAUAGCUCACUGGUCGAGUCGGCCUGCGCGGAAGAUGUAACGGGGCUAAACCAUGCACCGAAGCUGCGGCAGCGACACUGUGUGUUGUUGGGUAGGGGAGCGUUCUGUAAGCCUGUGAAGGUGUGCUGUGAGGCAUGCUGGAGGUAUCAGAAGUGCGAAUGCUGACAUAAGUAACGAUAAAGCGGGUGAAAAGCCCGCUCGCCGGAAGACCAAGGGUUCCUGUCCAACGUUAAUCGGGGCAGGGUGAGUCGACCCCUAAGGCGAGGCCGAAAGGCGUAGUCGAUGGGAAACAGGUUAAUAUUCCUGUACUUGGUGUUACUGCGAAGGGGGGACGGAGAAGGCUAUGUUGGCCGGGCGACGGUUGUCCCGGUUUAAGCGUGUAGGCUGGUUUUCCAGGCAAAUCCGGAAAAUCAAGGCUGAGGCGUGAUGACGAGGCACUACGGUGCUGAAGCAACAAAUGCCCUGCUUCCAGGAAAAGCCUCUAAGCAUCAGGUAACAUCAAAUCGUACCCCAAACCGACACAGGUGGUCAGGUAGAGAAUACCAAGGCGCUUGAGAGAACUCGGGUGAAGGAACUAGGCAAAAUGGUGCCGUAACUUCGGGAGAAGGCACGCUGAUAUGUAGGUGAAGUCCCUCGCGGAUGGAGCUGAAAUCAGUCGAAGAUACCAGCUGGCUGCAACUGUUUAUUAAAAACACAGCACUGUGCAAACACGAAAGUGGACGUAUACGGUGUGACGCCUGCCCGGUGCCGGAAGGUUAAUUGAUGGGGUCAGCGCAAGCGAAGCUCUUGAUCGAAGCCCCGGUAAACGGCGGCCGUAACUAUAACGGUCCUAAGGUAGCGAAAUUCCUUGUCGGGUAAGUUCCGACCUGCACGAAUGGCGUAAUGAUGGCCAGGCUGUCUCCACCCGAGACUCAGUGAAAUUGAACUCGCUGUGAAGAUGCAGUGUACCCGCGGCAAGACGGAAAGACCCCGUGAACCUUUACUAUAGCUUGACACUGAACAUUGAGCCUUGAUGUGUAGGAUAGGUGGGAGGCUUUGAAGUGUGGACGCCAGUCUGCAUGGAGCCGACCUUGAAAUACCACCCUUUAAUGUUUGAUGUUCUAACGUGGACCCGUGAUCCGGGUUGCGGACAGUGUCUGGUGGGUAGUUUGACUGGGGCGGUCUCCUCCUAAAGAGUAACGGAGGAGCACGAAGGUUGGCUAAUCCUGGUCGGACAUCAGGAGGUUAGUGCAAUGGCAUAAGCCAGCUUGACUGCGAGCGUGACGGCGCGAGCAGGUGCGAAAGCAGGUCAUAGUGAUCCGGUGGUUCUGAAUGGAAGGGCCAUCGCUCAACGGAUAAAAGGUACUCCGGGGAUAACAGGCUGAUACCGCCCAAGAGUUCAUAUCGACGGCGGUGUUUGGCACCUCGAUGUCGGCUCAUCACAUCCUGGGGCUGAAGUAGGUCCCAAGGGUAUGGCUGUUCGCCAUUUAAAGUGGUACGCGAGCUGGGUUUAGAACGUCGUGAGACAGUUCGGUCCCUAUCUGCCGUGGGCGCUGGAGAACUGAGGGGGGCUGCUCCUAGUACGAGAGGACCGGAGUGGACGCAUCACUGGUGUUCGGGUUGUCAUGCCAAUGGCACUGCCCGGUAGCUAAAUGCGGAAGAGAUAAGUGCUGAAAGCAUCUAAGCACGAAACUUGCCCCGAGAUGAGUUCUCCCUGACCCUUUAAGGGUCCUGAAGGAACGUUGAAGACGACGACGUUGAUAGGCCGGGUGUGUAAGCGCAGCGAUGCGUUGAGCUAACCGGUACUAAUGAACCGUGAGGCUUAACCUUACAACGCCGAAGGUGUUU
rnacentral:rRNA from 1 species